rnacentral:rRNA from 1 species
CCUACGGGUGGCUGCAGUGGGGAAUAUUGCACAAUGGGCGCAAGCCUGAUGCAGCCAUGCCGCGUGUGUGAAGAAGGCCUUCGGGUUGUAAAGCACUUUCAGCGGGGAGGAAGGCGGUGAGGUUAAUAACCUCAUCGAUUGACGUUACCCGCAGAAGAAGCACCGGCUAACUCCGUGCCAGCAGCCGCGGUAAUACGGAGGGUGCAAGCGUUAAUCGGAAUUACUGGGCGUAAAGCGCACGCAGGCGGUCUGUCAAGUCGGAUGUGAAAUCCCCGGGCUCAACCUGGGAACUGCAUUCGAAACUGGCAGGCUAGAGUCUUGUAGAGGGGGGUAGAAUUCCAGGUGUAGCGGUGAAAUGCGUAGAGAUCUGGAGGAAUACCGGUGGCGUAGGCGGCCCCCUGGACAAAGACUGACGCUCAGGUGCGAAAGCGUGGGGAGCAAACAGGAUUAGAUACCCCAGUAGUC